UACGGGGGGGGCAAGCGUUGUUCGGAAUUACUGGGCGUAAAGGGCUCGUAGGCGGCCAACUAAGUCAGACGUGAAAUCCCUCGGCUUAACCGGGGAACUGCAUCUGAUACUGGAUGGCUUGAGUUUGGGAGAGGGAUGCGGAAUUCCAGGUGUAGCGGUGAAAUGCGUAGAUAUCAGGAGGAACACCGAUGGCGAAGGCAGGUCUCUGGGCAUUAACUGACGCUGAGGAGCGAAAGCAUGGGGAGCGAACGGG
rnacentral:rRNA from 1 species